rnacentral:rRNA from 1 species
GUGCAGCAGUCGCGAAAACUUCACAAUGUGCGAAAGCACGAUGAGGGAAUCCCAAGUGCUUGCACGUAAGUGUAAGCUGUUUCUCUGUCUAAAACGCAGAGAGAGUAAGGGCUGGGUAAGACGGGUGCCAGCCGCCGCGGUAAUACCUGCAGCUCGAGUGGUGACCGUUAUUAUUGGGCCUAAAACGUCCGUAGCCGGUUUAAUAAAUGCCUGGGUAAAUCGGACCGCUUAACGGUUCGAAUUCCGGGUAGACUGUUAAACUUGAGACCGGGAGAAGUUAGAGGUACUCCUGGGGUAGAGGUGAAAUUCUGUAAUCCUAGGGGGACCACCAGUGGCGAAGGCGUCUAACUAGAACGGGUCUGACGGUGAGGGACGAAGCCCUGGGGCGC